rnacentral:rRNA from 1 species
CAGCAGCCGCGGGAAAACGAAGGGUGCAAGCGUUAAUCGGAAUUACUGGGCGUAAAGCGCGCGUAGGUGGUUCAUUAAGUUGGAUGUGAAAGCCCUGGGCUCAACCUGGGAAUUGCAGUGGAUACUGGGCAACUAGAGUAAGGUAGAGGAUAGUGGAAUUUCCGGUGUAGCAGUGAAAUGCGUAGAGAUCGGAAGGAACAUCUGUGGCGAAGGCGACUAUCUGGGCCAUUACUGACACUGAGGCACGAAAGCGUGGGGAGCAAACAGGAUUAGAUACCCGCGUAGUCCCUGUCUCUUAUAC